ACCAUGCUUAAUGCUUAUAUCUGAAAUAUAUUUUAUAUAUCGAAACCAUGUUCUAUUCUCAACUCUCUUAUCACUAGGGUUUUGUCACAUAUCUAAACGGUCUCUCUUAUAAGCUAUUCUUGAAUCUGAAUAUUGGGCGGCGGCGAUGAUACAGAGAAGGGUCGCCGUCAGAUCGGCUUCUGUUUCCAGAUGAGGCAGGCGGGCCAAAUGUUCAAUUUUAUGGUCACGAGGGGAUUCAGCGUCACGUAACCAUAUGAUUAAACAUUUGUUCUGCUUCAUCUAUGGUUUGCCUAGAGAUGCAAUGCCACGGUCAGUGUCCUAAUCAUUUAACAUAUAUCGUCAUGCUUUGAUGGCCUGUGUAAGGAAAAGAGCUCAGUGUCAUUACUUAUGAUGUAAAGGUUGAAGAAACAUAGAUGACACAUUUGACAUUUUCAUCAAGAUGGAUGGCAAAAGAGUUGAAUCCUUGAUUAAUAACGGCCUUUGUAGUGUCGGUCAAUGGAAUGAUAUGCCGCUAGAUUAUUCAUCCUGGGGGUAGUUACCACCAAAUGUUAAUGGAUUGAUCAGUUUCUGUUCUCUAAUAAUGUGAGUGUUUCUAGAAGCUAAAGUGUUGCAUUGUGUAGACGAGAUUCAAAGAGGUUUGCUUGCAAAGUCAUCGAGGUGAGGCGAAACAAAUGUUUGAUUUUAUGGUUACCAAGGGAUGCAAAUGUUACGUGACCAACAUUUGUUUCGCUUCGUCAAGGGUUUUCUCGAGUAGAGAACAUUAAUGAUGUCCAAAGCUCUGGCUAGAGAUACAAUGUCAUGUCUCGCCGUCACGGUCCGUUUUCUAAAUCUUAUAAUGCAUAAGGUUUUGUAUGAUAGUCUAUUUAAGAAUGGAUAAACUAGAAGAGACUAGAUUAAUACAAUGCAAUGAAAAGGACCCGGAUGGAGCUCGAUAUUGUUGAGCCUACUAUUAUCAUUCAUGGCUUGUGUAAGGUUGAGGAUCAUAAUAAAUAUGAUUACUGACCGUAGUAGAUUGGGAAGAA